rnacentral:tRNA from 1 species
GCCCUGGUGGCACAAUUGGUCAGCGCGGUAGGUUUUUCCAUCACUGGUCGCCCAAUAUUACUCAGUUCUAACAAUCUCUCAGUGAGACUUUUAAUCUCAAGGUUGAGAGUUCGAGCCUCUCCCAGGGCG